GAAAGCUCGGUGGGCGUCUCUGGAGACAACAGCUGCAGACUUUAACAAGCAGACCAGCGCCGGUAUAUCACACUCUAAAAAUGCAACAAUGAAGACACAUAAUCCCAUAAGGACUGAACUGUGAUUGCCAUUAAGGGUCACUGUGGUUCUCAGGAAACCCCCUGAUCUGCUGUUGUCAGGCCGAGCGGAGUGUUUCCUCGCUGUGAUCCAGGGAGCUGUUGAGCUCCACUUGAGCUCAAUGCUUCAAAACAUAAAUGUUAGAGCUGCUUCCUUAAUGUGCUGUGCAGUGGAAGUCUCUCGCUCGUGGCCUCCGUGACCCGCAGCUCCUGAACCUCAGCUGCCACUGAGAGCUUUAACC
ensembl:lncRNA